rnacentral:rRNA from 1 species
CGAAACUGCGAAUGGCUCAUUAUAUAAGUUAUCGUUUAUUUGAUAGCACCUUACUACUUGGAUAACCGUGGUAAUUCUAGAGCUAAUACAUGCUAAAAAUCCCGACUCCGGAAGGGAUGUAUUUAUUAGAUUAAAAACCAAUGCCCUCUGGGCUCUCUGGUGAUUCAUGAUAACUUCUCGAAUCGCAUGGCCUUGCGCCGGCGAUGGUUCAUUCAAAUUUCUUCCCUAUCAACUUUCGAUGUUUGGGUAGUGGCCAAACAUGGUUGCAACGGGUAACGGAGGGUUAGGGCUCGACCCCGGAGAAGGAGCCUGAGAAACGGCUACUACAUCCAAGGAAGGCAGCAGGCGCGCAAAUUACCCAAUCCCGACACGGGGAGGUAGUGACAAUAAAUACUGAUACAGGGCUCUUUUGGGUCUUGUAAUUGGAAUGAGUACAAUUUAAAUCCCUUAACGAGGAACAAUUGGAGGGCAAGUCUGGUGCCAGCAGCCGCGGUAAUUCCAGCUCCAAUAGCGUAUAUUAAAGUUGUUGUGGUUAAAAAGCUCGUAGUUGAACCUUGGGCCUGGCUGGCCGGUCCGCCUCACCGCGUGCACUGGUCCGGCCGGGCCUUUCCCUCUGUGGAACCCCAUGCCCUUCACUGGGUGUGGCGGGGAAACAGGACUUUUACUUUGAAAAAAUUAGAGUGCUCCAGGCAGGCCUAUGCUCGAAUACAUUAGCAUGGAAUAAUGAAAUAGGACGUGCGGUUCUAUUUUGUUGGUUUCUAGGACCGCCGUAAUGAUUAAUAGGGACAGUCGGGGGCAUCAGUAUUCAAUUGUCAGAGGUGAAAUUCUUGGAUUUAUUGAAGACUAACUACUGCGAAAGCAUUUGCCAAGGAUGUUUUCAUUAAUCAGGAACGAAAGUUAGGGGAUCGAAGACGAUCAGAUACCGUCGUAGUCUUAACCAUAAACUAUGCCGACUAGGGAUCGGA